rnacentral:rRNA from 1 species
GUGUGGCAACACAUGGAGCUGACUGUUACUAAUCGAUCGAGGGCUUGACCAAA